GGUGGCUCAGUGGUAGAGCACCUGCCUUGCAUGCAUGAGGCCCUGAGUUUGAUUCCUCAGCACCA
rnacentral:tRNA from 1 species